AAGUUCCCACCAGCUCUUCCUGAGUUAGGCAAGUCGCGCCCUUCCUCAUCUCAGAUGCAGGCUAACUUCAAGGAAACAGCUCACAGCAGAUCUAUAACAAGGGAGAGUGAGAGAAACUGAAACCACACGGGCUCGCCAGCUCCUGGGGACUGAGCCAGGAGCCAGGAGCCAUUUUGAAGGAAG